UUGGUCAUAUGUGCACUGAUCGUAACGUAUCAUAUAUUUAAUCUGGGAUGCACAAAUGUUUGCCUGUUUUACGUUUUACUUCCUCAGCAAAAGCAUAGAAUAUACAGUGUGUAGAAUAUACAGUGUGUACAUAUCAACACAGUUUGGUAUUGUUCAACAUGUCAAUCUCAGCCAAAUCUGGGGUAUGGAAAGGACAUUACACACAGAAUAACAAGCGUUAUCCUUUUACUAUACAACUUUUUCUCGGACACAUUGACGGGUCCCUGAAAGGCGAAGGCACUGACGGCAUUGGGAAUUUCAUAAUUAAUGGGAUGUGGGAUAGGUUCAGCGGGUCUGUCCAGUUCAUGAAGCAAUAUGUUGGCGCCCACGGUGUGAAAUAUAUUGGUCGGAUAAGCAAUGAUGGAAGACAAAUAGACGGGACAUACAAUGUCACUGGCAGCACUGGAACUUUCCAUAUGGACACUCAAUAACCCUUCAGGACUUCAUUUGCUAAAAUGCAUUUAAGUGACUUUUCCCUUUUUUUAUGCACGUCAAGCAACUUUUGAAUCUUUUUUGUGUUAAUGUAUGUCACUCGUGAUACUUGUUAAAUCAAGCAUUUUUGAGAAGUUUAUUUUGGAUAAGUACUCAUAUAGUAUGACUCAAAAUCGCAGAGAAAAUAGGAGGUCAGUGUGCAUCUUACCGAUCUAUGGUACAAAUAAGUUGACCUUUUUGCACUUUUUUAACUCUUUGGUUUAUUACUUUAUCCAUUAUUAUAUUUUAUCAGAUGUUACCAUGGCAAUAAAUUUAAUCUUAUUUUACGUAAAA